GACGUAGGGCGCGAGCGUUGUCCGGAUUUAUUGGGCGUAAAGAGCUCGUAGGCGGCUUGUCGCGUCGACUGUGAAAUCCCGCGGCUCAACUGCGGGUCUGCAGUCGAUACGGGCAGGCUAGAGUUCGGUAGGGGAGACUGGAAUUCCUGGUGUAGCGGUGAAAUGCGCAGAUAUCAGGAGGAACACCGGUGGCGAAGGCGGAUCUCUGGGCCAUUACUGACGCUGAGGAGCGAAAGCGUGGGGGAGCGAACAGG
rnacentral:rRNA from 1 species